GCCCCUAUUUUCCUGAUUCAGUCACAGUUAAUAAAUAAUAAAUAAUGGAACUAGAAUCAGUCUGUGGAAGUUUCUCUAUAGUUUCAUUAUUUUUUCCAGUCAGUGAUGAUAUGACUCAUUCCACCUUACAGUUACAGCAAUUACCGUAUUGAGAAUUUACCGUUCAAGGACUCCAUUUUGGCAUUGAAUUGGAAUUUGAAGAAAAACUGUUUCAAUAUUGGAUGUAUAUGCAAAUCACCCAGGAAAAGAUCAUGUAACAAAAGAAAUUAUAAAAGUAAAAAAAUGGAAGAAGAAAUGGCUGGAAAAAAUGAUGAUAGAGCAGCUUUUUCUUGUUAGCCACCUCGGAAGAUCAAGACAGCUGGAAAGGGCUAUUGAUAUUGUGGAAGUGUUUUCUUACAGAGGUUGCUUAUCAGACAAAGGCUAUUUAACUACAUCAGAAAGAUAAAAACAGUUGGAAAUGGCUAUUCAUAUUGUGGAAACUUUUCUCACAGAGCUUGAUAAUCAGGCAAAAUGCUGGAACACCCUUGAAAGAGUAUUUGAUGUAUGAUAACAACAAGAGAACCCAAGCAUCAAUUUAUUUUAUACUUCUGGGAAAGAAUGCAUUUGACCCAAUUUUUAAAUAUUUAUUUUUUGUUAUUAAUGUUAAAUUUUCUUCCAAAACACAAUUAGAUUUUAAUUCUCUUCAAAUA